GAUGAACGCUGGCGGCGUGCCUAAUACAUGCAAGUCGAGCGAAUGGAUUAAGAGCUUGCUCUUAUGAAGUUAGCGGCGGACGGGUGAGUAACACGUGGGUAACCUGCCCAUAAGACUGGGAUAACUCCGGGAAACCGGGGCUAAUACCGGAUAACAUUUUGAACCGCAUGGUUCGAAAUUGAGAGGCGGCUUCGGCUGUCACUUAUGGAUGGACUCGGGUCGAAUUAGCUAGUUGGUGAGGUAACGGCUCACCAAGGCAACGAUGCGUAGCCGACCUGAGAGGGUGAUCGGCCACACUGGGACUGAGACACGGCCCAGACUCCUACGGGAGGCAGCAGGAGGGAAUCUUCCGCAAUGGACGAAAGUCUGACGGAGCAACGCCGCGUGAGUGACGAAGGCUUUCGGGUCGUAAAACUCUGUUGUUAGGGAAGAACAAGUGCUAGUUGAAUAAGCUGGCACCUUGACGGUACCUAACCAGAAAGCCACGGCUAACUACGUGCCAGCCGCCGCAGUAA
rnacentral:rRNA from 1 species